UAAGGUGACUUUAGCGACGGGGUUCCACCUCUACCCAUUCCGAACAGAGAAGUUAAGCCCGUCAGCGCCGAUGGUACUGCAUUUGUGGGAGAGUAGGUUGUCGCCGACU
rnacentral:rRNA from 1 species